rnacentral:rRNA from 1 species
UACGUAGGUGGCGAGCGUUGUCCGGAUUUACUGGGCGUAAAGAGCGCGCAGGCGGUCGUUCAAGUCGCGUGUGAAAGCCCCCGGCUCAACUGGGGAGGGUCACGCGAUACUGAUCGACUCGAAGGCAGGAGAGGGAAGUGGAAUUCCCGGUGUAGUGGUGAAAUGCGUAGAUAUCGGGAGGAACACCUGUGGCGAAGGCGGCUCUCUGGGACGGUACUGACGCUGAGACGCGGAAAGCGUGGGGAGCAAACAGGG